UGGUCAGGAGGGAGUCUAGCAUUUCCAGUACUGGUGUGGUAACGGUAUGGUGGUCAGGAGGGAGUCUAACGCUCCCAGUACUGGUGUGGUGCCGGUAUACUGGUCAGGAGGGAGUCUAGCGCUCCCAGUACUGGUGUGGUGCCGGUAUGGUGGUCAGGAGGGAGUCUAGCGCUCCCAGUACUGGUGGGGUGCCGGUGUGCUGGUCAGGAGGGAGUCUAGCGUUCCCAGUACUGGUGUGGUGCCGGUAUACUGGUCAGGAGGGAGUCUAGCGCUCCCAGUACUGGUGUGGUGCCGGUGUGCUGGUCAGGAGGGAGUCUAGCGCUCCCAGUACUGGUGGGGUGCCGGUGUGCUGGUCAGGAGGGAGUCUAGCGCUCCCAGUACUGGUGUGGUGCCGGUGUGCUGGUCAGGAGGGAGUCUAACACUCCCAGUACUGGUGUGGUGCCGGUAUACUGGUCAGGAGGGAGUCUAACACUCCCAGUACUGGUGUGGUGCCGGU